GACCUCAAAUCAGGUAGGA
rnacentral:rRNA from 3 species